rnacentral:rRNA from 1 species
UACGGGGGGAGCAAGCGUUGUUCGGAUUUACUGGGCGUAAGGGGCGCGUAGGCGGUCAGCACAAGUCAGUUGUGAAAUCUCCGGGCUUAACCCGGAAAGGUCAACUGAUACUGUGCGACUAGAGUGCGGAAGGGGCAACUGGAAUUCUCGGUGUAGCGGUGAAAUGCGUAGAUAUCGAGAGGAACACCUGCGGCGAAGGCGGGUUGCUGGGCCGACACUGACGCUGAUGCGCGAAAGCCAGGGGAGCGAACGGG